CCUACGGGAGGCAGCAGUGAGGAAUAUUGGUCAAUGGACGGAAGUCUGAACCAGCCAUGCCGCGUGCAGGAAGACGGCCCUACGGGUUGUAAACUUCUUUUGUCAGGGAGCAAUUGGGUCCACGCGUGGGCUUAGCUAGAGUACCUGAAGAAAAAGCAUCGGCUAACUCCGUGCCAGCAGCCGCGGUAAUACGGAGGAUGCGAGCGUUAUCCGGAUUUAUUGGGUUUAAAGGGUGCGUAGGCGGAUGGAUAAGUUAGAGGUGAAAUGUCCGAGCUUAACUCGGGAACUGCCUCUAAUACUGUUGAUCUAGAGAGUAGAUGCGGUAGGCGGAAUGUAUGGUGUAGCGGUGAAAUGCUUAGAGAUCAUACAGAACACCGAUUGCGAAGGCAGCUUACCAAUCUAUAUCUGACGUUGAGGCACGAAAGCGUGGGGAGCAAACAGGAUUAGAUACCCCUGUAGUC
rnacentral:rRNA from 1 species